rnacentral:rRNA from 1 species
GACGAACGCUGGCGGCGUGCUUAACACAUGCAAGUCGAACGGAAAGGCCCUGCUUUUGUGGGGUGCUCGAGUGGCGAACGGGUGAGUAACACGUGAGUAACCUGCCCUUGACUUUGGGAUAACUUCAGGAAACUGGGGCUAAUACCGGAUAGGAGCUCCUGCUGCAAGGUGGGGGCUGGAAAGUUUCGGCGCUUGGGGAUGGUCUCGCGGCUUAUCAGCUUGUUGGUGGGGUAGUGGCUUACCAAGGCUUUGACGGGUAGCCGGCCUGAGAGGGUGACCGGCCACAAUGGGGCGGAGAUACCGCCCAGACUCCUACGGGAGGCAGCAGUGGGGAAUAUUUCUCCAUGGGCGGAAGCCUGAUGCAGGAACGCCGCGUGGGGGAUGUAGGCCUUCGGGGUGUAAACCGCUUUCGCCUGUGAAGAAGAGUGAGUGACGGUAAUGGGUAAAGAAGCACCGGCUAACUACGUG